UACCAGCACCCCGAGUGGUCGGGACGUUAUUGGGCCUAAAGCAUCCGUAGCCGGUUCUACAAGUCUUCCGUUAAAUCCACCUGCUUAACAGAUGGGCUGCGGAGGAUACUACAAGGCUAGGAGGCGGAAGAGGCAAGCGGUACUCAGUGGGGUAGGGGUAAAAUCCCUCUGAUCCAUUGAAGACCACCAGUGGCGAAGGCGGCUUGCCAAUACGCGCUCGACGUGAGGGAUGAAAGCUGGGGGAGCAAACCGGG
rnacentral:rRNA from 1 species